UAUUAUUUUUUAGUCGCCUAAAACCAGAACCAAAGUGAAUCUUCUAUAGCUGCCUCCAAUUACCGAGUUGACUCAAUUAAAAGAAAUCAAAUUAAUGCAGAUAGGAAACGAAUGGUCGAUUGUGAGGAAACAGAUUAUUUGUAUUUUAAAAUUUAAUUUCAACUCUCUCCUCUCUCAUAUCUCAUUCUCCAGAUUCAAAUUGAGAAAGCAUAGAUAAAUUCUUGAUUACGGAGAAGAGUGAAGGAAGGAAGAUGAGCUGUGUUCAGUCCAAAAAAAAAAGAAGCUGCUACUCGAUGCAAAUGUUACGGCUCAUAACACUUUGGCCCCCGUGUAUUCUCGUUGUUCACAGUCCCAUCGGCGAAUCCAAAUUACAGUGGUGACUCAGUCCUAGUGAUUUGAAUCCAAAUUUCAAAAUUUUCGUUUCAGCAAGAAUGGAAUCUGAUGGACAUGAAUUCAGUAGCUGCUUUAUUCGUCGCUACUGUCGUCAUAUUUGUUUUCCUCCUCUGCUUAGUCGCCACAAUCCAUGUCUCCUUCAUAUGGGGAAUCGUCUCGAGUCGACUCGGUAGAAUUUUCAUGCUUUGAACCAACAAAAGCUUUCUUCCUUUUGUAUGACCUUGAGAUUUUAGAGAUAAAAAUGUUUUUUGACUUGUGUAAAUCAUCAAAGUUGCAAGUGUGUGUUGAGAAUUAUCAGGUGUGUACAAGUGAACUGAUGUUCAUGUGGACAGUGACAUCUCUGGAUCUCAUAUCGAGUUAGAAUUGUUUGUAUCUCUUGUACGGUUUUGUUGGAGGGGUUGUGAGAUUUCAUUACAUGUAGAAGAUAAGAUUCCUAUCUCCUGAUCCAAGUCUACAGACUAGCUCAUGUAUGCUACCCAUCAAGUGUUACUGAUCAAUGUGUACAUCAGACUCAUUGUACAUGUGUACUUAAUUUUAAUGUGUCAUCUUUGUAUCUUUGAAUUACAAAAUUAUAUACAUGUUGAUUUAAUUUAUUAA